GCUAGCUUUUGGGAUUGAUUAGGCAGAAGAACUUUCUUAGAAAAUACUAAUAACAGAAUUAUCCAUAACAGUAUGAAUUUUCAACUGCUUAAAAGUUUUAGUUCUGGACAAUGAAUUGACCUUCAAUUUUGUGCGAUGACAAUAAUGCAGACUCUAGAGCUUCUUGCUGAGGUAGCUGUUUUGGAAGAAGAGGUGGUCUGGCUUGAGG
rnacentral:lncRNA from 1 species